rnacentral:misc_RNA from 1 species
UCACCGCUUACACGGGCAGUUUCCCUAGAGUUCCCGGCAUUACCCGCUGGCAACUAGGGAUGGGGAUUGCGCUCGUUAUGGGACUUAACCCGACACCUCACGGCACGAGCUGACGACAGCCAUGCAGCACCUCGCACGCCGUCCGAAGAAGAGGACGUUUCCGCCCCUGUCGACGUGACAUUCUAGCCCAGGUAAGGUUCCUCGCGUAUCAUCGAAUUAAUCCACAUACUCCACCGCUUGUGCAGGCCCCCGUCAAUUUCUUUGAGUUUUAAUCUUGCGACCGUACUUCCCAGGCGGCUUAUUUAGCGCGUUUGCUACGCCACAAAAGGGGUCGAUUCCUUUUACAGCAAAUAAGCACCGUUUACAGCUAGGACUAC